GUGGUAAUGCCGGAUGCUCCAUCACACCGCAUGGUGUGUUGGGAAAGCCUUUGCGGCAUGGGAUGGGGUCGCGUCCUAUCAGCUUGAUGGCGGGGUAACGGCCCACCAUGGCUUCGACGGGUAGCCGGCCUGAGAGGGCGACCGGCCACAUUGGGACUGAGAUACGGCCCAGACUCCUACGGGAGGCAGCAGUGGGGAAUAUUGCACAAUGGGCGCAAGCCUGAUGCAGCGACGCCGCGUGAGGGAUGGAGGCCUUCGGGUUGUAAACCUCUUUUGUUAGGGAGCAAGGCAUUUUGUGUUGAGUGUACCUUUCGAAUAAGCACCGGCUAACUACGUGCCAGCAGCCGCGGUAAUACGUAGGGUGCAAGCGUUAUCCGGAAUUAUUGGGCGUAAAGGGCUCGUAGGCGGUUCGUCGCGUCCGGUGUGAAAGUCCAUCGCUUAACGGUGGAUCCGCGCCGGGUACGGGCGGGCUUGAGUGCGGUAGGGGAGACUGGAAUUCCCGGUGUAACGGUGGAAUGUGUAGAUAUCGG
rnacentral:rRNA from 1 species